GUUGAUUCGACCCGAAGGGGAAAAGUCCUGGACGAUUGUGCAGAGUGCAGGUGCUGCUCACAAACGCUCCGUCAAUGGCAUCCUCGGUCUUCUGUGCAGGGAACACUUCCCUGGCCUGGUUGAGUACGGUGGAGUGACGGAGCCGGCCUAUACGUUCGACCACUACGCCGCCGCCCCUGAUGCUGAAGAUCGGGAUGGCAGGGUAUUCAACAACAAGGCGGAGCGGGUGAAACAAGAGCUGUGGGAUUUCUUCAGAUGUGAGCAUGGAUUUGAGGACAAAGCUGAUGUGGUGGCCACCAAAGUAUGUAAG